AACAUUUCACAACACGAGCUGACGACAGCCAUGCAGCACCUGUCUCACGGUUCCCGAAGGCACUAAGGCAUCUCUGCCAAAUUCCGUGGAUGUCAAGGCCAGGUAAGGUUCUUCGCGUUGCAUCGAAUUAAACCACAUGCUCCACCGCUUGUGCGGGCCCCCGUCAAUUCAUUUGAGUUUUAACCUUGCGGCCGUACUCCCCAGGCGGUCGACUUAACGCGUUAGCUCCGGAAGCCACGCCUCAAGGGCACAACCUCCAAGUCGACAUCGUUUACGGCGUGGACUACCAGGGUAUCUAAUCCUGUUUGCUCCCCACGCUUUCGCACCUGAGCGUCAGUCUUUGUCCAGGGGGCCGCCUUCGCCACCGGUAUUCCUCCAAAUCUCUACGCAUUUCACCGCUACACCUGGAAUUCUACCCCCCUCUACAAGACUCUAGCCUGCCAGUUUCGAAUGCAGUUCCCAGGUUGAGCCCGGGGAUUUCACAUCCGACUUGACAGACCGCCUGCGUGCGCUUUACGCCCAGUAAUUCCGAUUAACGCUUGCACUCUCCGUAUUACCGCGGCUGCUGGCACGGAGUUAGCCGGUGCUUCUUCUGCGGGUAACGUCAAUCGACGAAGUUAUUAACUUCAUCGCCUUCCUCCCCACUGAAAGUACUUUACAACCCGAAGGCCUUCUUCAUACACGCGGCAUGGCUGCAUCAGGCUUGCGCCCAUUGUGCAAUAUUCCCCACUGCUGCCUCCCGUAGGAGUCUGGACCGUGUCUCAGUUCCAGUGUGGCUGGUCAUCCUCUCAGACCAGCUAGGGAUCGUCGCCUAGGUGAGCCGUUACCCCACCUACUAGCUAAUCCCAUCUGGGCACAUCCGAUGGUGUGAGGCCCGAAGGUCCCCCACUUUGGUCCGAAGACGUUAUGCGGUAUUAGCUACCGUUUCCAGUAGUUAUCCCCCUCCAUCAGGCAGUUUCCCAGACAUUACUCACCCGUCCGCCACUCGUCACCCGAGAGCAAGCUCUCUGUGCUACCGUUC
rnacentral:rRNA from 1 species